GGAAUUGUAUCCAUUGGUAAGGUAAUGUAUCUGCUUUAUACUGUGAUAAGUCACUUGGGCGUUCGAAUCGCUCCUUUUCCG
rnacentral:tRNA from 1 species